rnacentral:rRNA from 1 species
AACGCGAAAGGGGGCUUCCGGCCCCGAGUAGAGUGGCGUCCGGGUGAGUAACACGUAGGUAAUCUACCUUCGGGUGGGGAAUAACGCCUCGAAAGAGGCGCUAAUACCGCAUAACGCAGCGGCAGCGAGUGCUGAUUAGUUGUUAAAGCGGGGGACCCCGUAAGGGGCCUCGCGCCUGAAGAGGAGCCUGCGGCAGAUUAGCUAGUUGGCGGGGUAACGGCCCACCAAGGCUCCGAUCUGUAGCUGGUCUGAGAGGACGGCCAGCCACACUGGCACUGACACACGGGCCAGACUCCUACGGGAGGCAGCAGUGGGGAAUUUUGGGCAAUGGGCGAAAGCCUGACCCAGCAACGCCGCGUGAGGGAGGAAAUCCUUCGGGAUGUAAACCUCACAAGCAAGGGAAGAGCGCGCGUGGCCGAACACGCCAUGCGCCCGACGGUACCUUGCGUAAGCCACGGCUAACUACGUGCCAGCAGCCGCGGUAAUACGUAGGUGGCAAGCGUUGUUCGGAAUUAUUGGGCGUAAAGGGCGCGUAGGCGGCCCCGUAAGUCAGUUGUGAAAGCCCGGGGCUCAACCCCGGAGGGUCGACUGAUACUGCAGGGCUAGAGUACGGAAGAGGUAGCUGGAAUUCCCGGUGUAGCGGUGAAAUGCGUAGAUAUCGGGAGGAGCACCUGAGGCGAAGGCGGGCUACUGGGCCGAUACUGACGCUGAGGCGCGAAAGCCAGGGGAGCGAACGGGAUUAGAUACCCCGGUAGUCCUGGCCCUAAAC